rnacentral:rRNA from 2 species
AAACCUCCUACCGGGAGCAGCAGUAGGGAAUAUUCCACAAUGAGCGAAAGCUUGAUGGAGCGACACAGCGUGCACGAUGAAGGUCUUCGGAUUGUAAAGUGCUGUUAUAGGGAAAGAACACCUGGUUGAGGAAAUGCUUCCAGGCUGACGGUACCCUGUCAGAAAGCGAUGGCUAACUAUGUGCCAGCAGCCGCGGUAAUACAUAGGUCGCAAGCGUUAUCCGGAAUUAUUGGGCGUAAAGCGUUCGUAGGCUGUUUAUUAAGUCUGGAGUCAAAUCCCAGGGCUCAACCCUGGCUCGCUUUGGAUACUGGUAAACUAGAGUUAGAUAGAGGUAAGCGGAAUUCCAUGUGAAGCGGUGAAAUGCGUAGAUAUAUGGAAGAACACCAAAGGCGAAGGCAGCUUACUGGGUCUAUACUGACGCUGAGGGACGAAAGCGUGGGGAGCAAACAGGAUUAGAUACCCUGGUAGUCCACGCCGUAAACGAUGAUCAUUAGUCGGUGGAGAGUUCACUGACGCAGCUAACGCAUUAAAUGAUCCGCCUGAGUAGUAUGCUCGCAAGAGUGAAACUUAAAGGAAUUGACGGGGACCCGCACAAGCGGUGGAGCAUGUGGUUUAAUUUGAAGAUACGCGGAGAACCUUACCCACUCUUGACAUCCUUCGCAAUGCUAUAGAGAUAUAGCGGAGGUUAACGGAGUGACAGAUGGUGCAUGGUUGUCGUCAGCUCGUGUCGUGAGAUGUUUGGUCAAGUCCUGCAACGAGCGCAACCCCUAUCUUUAGUUACUAACGAGUCAUGUCGAGGACUCUAGAGAUACUGCCUGGGUAACUGGGAGGAAGGUGGGGAUGACGUCAAAUCAUCAUGCGACUCCUACGGGAGGCAGCACACGUGCUACAAUGGUCGGUACAAAGAGAAGCAAUAUGGCGUACAUGGAGCAAAUCUCA